rnacentral:rRNA from 1 species
GAGUUUGAUCCUGGCUCAGGAUGAACGCUGGCGGCGUGCCUAACACAUGCAAGUCGAACGGGCUCGGAUUGAAACCUAGUGAUUUCCGAGUUAGUGGCGGACGGGUGAGUAACGCGUGGAUAACCUGCCGUAUGCAGGGGGAUAACAGUUGGAAACAGCUGCUAAUACCGCAUAAGCGCACAGUACCGCAUGGUACGGUGUGAAAAGAUUUAUCGGCAUACGAUGGAUCCGCGUCCGAUUAGCCAGUUGGCGGGGUAACGGCCCACCAAAGCGACGAUCGGUAGCCGGCCUGAGAGGGCGGACGGCCACAUUGGGACUGAGACACGGCCCAAACUCCUACGGGAGGCAGCAGUGGGGAAUAUUGCACAAUGGGGGAAACCCUGAUGCAGCGACGCCGCGUGAGUGAAGAAGU